rnacentral:other from 1 species
ACGGCCCUGCUGUGUUCGUGAUACCAAAAAGUUUUGAGCUAACACACAUUGAGAGGGAGCCUGGACUUUAACUGUGGUGUAGCACCUCCUUGGCGAGGUCCUCUAAAGCAGUUAAGAGGGCACCCACCUGUUGGGAUCCAGUUCAAAACAGGAGGUUCACGGCAUGGCGGGGGUUUU